rnacentral:sRNA from 1 species
UUUGAAACGGUUGAAGGCAUGAUGAUUGA